UUCAAAGCCCUGGAUUGGCAGCUCUAUCAGGAAGCAAGUGUGGCACAGAACUGUAAUAGCUGUCUUCGUUAGAGUUCAUUAUCUGAAAAAUUCCAAGUGCUUUGGACAACAUGAGCUGUGGCAAUAGUAGUGAGCUGAAACUAUUCCCACACAACUAAAACACAGCUGAAGGCACUGGGUUCUCUGCUGAUGGAACUGAGGCCUCUAGUACCUCAUCACUAAAUGAUUUUCAGAGAAGCAAAAACUACUUGAACACCCACGGCUAAAGACAAUGCCUGAAGUGUCUUGGAGUGUGGUGUUGAGGAAAGUUUGCUGCAUGUAUGCAAUGGUGUCAUCUUUCUGCUCUAAUACUGGCUGCAGGCUGACUUGUAGUAGUAUGUGAGUAGUAUACUGGCACACCCUAUAGAAGUUACUGCAGUUUUUGUUGUCCACAGGGACUAUUCAGCUGCACAGAUCUGCAGAUUGCAAGGCUGUAUUCUCCACUUCUCCUUCUUCAAGUAAAGUAUUUCAUAACACAUUUGGAAUACAAAUUUGUACUUUCAGAGUUUGACCUUUUUACAAAUGAGAUAGAUAACUGGAAUCUGUCCAGGCAGUUUUUAUUACAGCAGCACUUGUACAGCUUCAUGAUUAAUCUGUUUCCAGAUGUGGUGACUGUUAUUCCCUUUCCAGCAGAUAAGAUGGUGGCCCUGCACACAGUGGGAGAAGGAAUAGAAUGGUGCACAACUCCAGCUUUCCGUAGUGCCAGCAGCCAGAGUGUGUAGCCCUGAAAAUGAGAAAAGUACUCCACUUCUUUUCCAGUAAUGCUUGAGAAGAGCCACUAGAAUCCAUUUUAGAGCUGAGAACCUUGAGGAAGGGAAUGCAGAUCUCUGCAGUCUGGAGUAAAGCAUCAAAAUUCCUGAGUCUGCUUUAAACAUGCCCUUUGUUUAGUCAUGGCAGCUUUGGACAUUGUGCUCUUCUGUAGAGAGCUUAGGGGUUCCCUCUCUGUUCAGAGCACUGACUCCUGUGCAUCUUUCCUUGGAUGCCAGUCUCUCCUUCAGGUUUCUAUAUUAUUCUUAUGGAAACUAUUUUGGUUUACCUUAAUUGCUUACAUCACAGCCAUGAUUGUUUAUAACACUCUACACAAGAAGAAAUUCCACACAAAAAUGAAAGAC